GGGGGCGUAAUGGCUUCGACGUGGUAUGAGCGGUUUGAAGAGCAUGUCGAGCUUUAACUGUGUGCUCGUUAAAAAAAUGGUUAAACAAUACAUGCAAACAAUAGCAUGAGUGCUUUCAAUAGCACGCCCGCUUUCGCGUAAUAGCUUAAGCAGCUUGGUAGGACAGUGUGCCUAUGCAUUGGCCUAACUCGUAUAACCCUUUAUAGGACUGGAAAGCAAGGUUCACUUGGUAUGUAGCUUUUCUGAACACAAACCAGGCGUGUUUGUAUAGCGUGUCUUUUAGGAAUAAGGAACACGUACAAGAAAAAGACUAAACAUGUAGCGCUUUAAGCUAAUCGUAGUACGGACAUGGGUUCGACUCCCAUCGCCUCCACCA
rnacentral:tmRNA from 1 species